AUGUGUGAACCUGCUUGUGAUUCAAACUGUGUUCUCUUCAGUAGUCAAUCAAAAUCAUUUGCAUCAUCUGCCCUUACUUCAAAUAUCAGUCAGCAAAACAUAGUUGUCUUUGUCUGCAACAGUAUGUACGUGAACUGUGAUUGCAAACGCUGUUGUGCUUGCAAUGCGCAAAAUUUGGAGGCAAGAAAAGACCCUAGUAAAGGGGCCGUGAGUUGGAACAAGGCAUAUCUUAACCGCAUGAUUGUUGGUGAUUGCAAUGUUUUUUCUUGUGGGGAUGUCUAUUUGUGUCCACUCCCAUUUGGAAGCUAA
rnacentral:rRNA from 1 species